UUCAGAGGUGAUCGGCGGAGAAAGGGAGUGGCGUGAGUGCGCAGGGGCGCAGGAGCGCACACGGAGAGACAGGAGAGGACAGGACAGGACAGAGAGAAGACAGGGGGGAGAGAAGAAGAAGUUAGGAUCAUGAUGGAGCAUUCUGAAGUGGGUCAGCAGCAGAGUGGGACAGGUGCAGCAACAGAUCAGUUACAGAAAAAGAGGACUCCACUUCAAAGUCGGCGUCACCUUUUCCUACCUACAUCCCACAUCGACUCCCCGGCUGAUUAAUCGCAGAAAGCUGUGUUUGGGUUUGAGUGGGUAGAAAAAGGUUGAGUGGGGCACUUGUUACCUUGGGC